CUUGACAUCCAGCGAACUUUCCAGAGAUGGAUUGGUGCCUUCGGGAACGCUGAGACAGGUGCUGCAUGGCUGUCGUCAGCUCGUGUUGUGAAAUGUUGGGUUAAGUCCCGNAACGAGCGCAACCCUUAUCCUUUGUUGCCAGCGAUUCGGUCGGGAACUCAAAGGAGACUGCCGGUGAUAAACCGGAGGAAGGUGGGGAUGACGUCAAGUCAUCAUGGCCCUUACGAGUAGGGCUACACACGUGCUACAAUGGCGCAUACAAAGAGAAGCGACCUCGCGAGAGCAAGCGGACCUCAUAAAGUGCGUCGUAGUCCGGAUCGGAGUCUGCAACUCGACUCCGUGAAGUCGGAAUCGCUAGUAAUCGUGGAUCAGAAUGCCACGGUGAAUACGUUCCCGGGCCUUGUACACACCGCCCGUCACACCAUGGGAGUGGGUUGCAAAAGAAGUAGGUAGCUUAACCCUCGGGAGGGCGCUUACCACUUUGUGAUUCAUGACUGGGGUGAAGUCGUAACAAGGUAAGCGUAGUGCU
rnacentral:rRNA from 1 species